rnacentral:rRNA from 1 species
CGGUGAGGGCCAUGGAUUUGGAGUUUCCUUCUCAGUGGUCUGGCGCCCUAAGAAAGGGAGCGCCGGGUACUGCAAUUAGAAGGGGGGCUGCGAUCAGAAGCUGCUCAUUAAGCCCGAGAGGAUUGGUAUUGAGGGUUUGGCAGCCUUGCUCUUUUAGGCACCGCUCCCCUCCCCGGGAGGGGGCGCAUAGCCAACCCCACCCCUCCAGCCGGGUGGUGGGGGGCAGCAAAUGAGCCGGUGAGUCAGGGAUUCCACCGGGAUUUCCAGGGGGUGCAAGGUGCGUUCAGAGACUGAAUAUUCCAUGAACUCUGCAUUCACCUUAGUAUCGCAUUUGCAGCGUUCUUCACGGAUCGGGAGACCGAGAAGUACCAUGGUUGAAAUUUUACGGAGGGGGAUACAAUGGACUCGGCGAAAAAACUUGAGAACGUUUUCGGCUGCGGGUUGCGCGAAGGCCAUGCCCACCCCAAAAGGAGGGCGGGGCCCGCCGUGCGCAAACAAACAACGGUAGAGACACUGAGGGGGGGGGGGGCCCCGAGGGCCCACCCAGCAAUAACCUUCCGUAGGGGGAACCUGCGGAAGGAUCAUUA